GGAGAGAGAUGGAUAGAUUGAAAGGAAUCGAAAAAAAGGAAAACAGGAAAAAGGAAGAGGCACUUGUUGUGUCGAUCGAACAUCCUGCGAAUAUGUUCGGAACACGUUCGAAGAAUUUAUACGGAAUGAAAUACAGGAUGUGUCGCGACAUGUUAUUUGACGGUUGAUGAACUCGAGACUUUUUUUUAGAUAGGGAAAAUAUAUACUUAUUUCUCGAAAAAGAUCCUUGGUUAAAUUAAUUCAUCCUAUAAUUUCAAUUCUUCCAAUUAAUACAAAUAUGUACAAAAAAGAAAACAAAAUUUCAAUGAUCUUUUUUUUUAAUACAUUGUCAAGAUCAUCGCCCUUUUUUCAUAAUCAUCAAAAAAAAAUCCAGGAAAAUCGUUCGAAUCGAAAGCUCCCUUGUUCCGAAAGAAAUACCACAAAAAUCAAAAUUUCUUUCCUGCUACACAAUUCGGGAUUAUAAAAGAGGCAAAUGGGAAACACGUUUACGUACCGGUCGAAGAACAGUUACAAUAGGCCCGCGAUUAAUUUCGUCGAUCAUUGUUGGACGACCGUAUCGAGGUUAUUUUAUUAAUAUCCAAUCGUAUUUCGAAAACGGGAGGUCGAAACCCGAGGGCAGCAAUAACCAUCCAUCCAAUUUGCGCGUGAUCGCAGAAAUGGACGCAAGGUGACUCUUUAUUAAAUCAAUUGCAACGGUGGCGGGAUGCGAGAGGGGAGAGGGGAGGGGUUGAUGCGCGGCCUGGUAGAUGGCUAAUUACGAAAAUAUUUGAUCUCUGUGAAAGAUCCGUGUUCCGAUGCGUGCGUUAUGUCCGCGUAUUACAUUUCGCGUACCACGAUAAAUCAUCGUUCCGUUUCUGACCGCUUGAAAUUUCUUGUCCCUCCGUGCGCGCCAUUGUUUCGAAGGAACGUUUGAAACGAGCUCGUCAACGCUUUUCGGGAUGACUAGGAUAAAUGGCUUAUAUACAGGGACGAUUUGUUACUGAAUAAUUUAAGUGUAAUUUUUUUUCCUGCUUGUUUACAUUGAGAAUCAUUUAAUGUUUUUCUAGAUUCGUGAUUUUUUUCUUUGGAUAAGUCGUUAACAGAUACGAGCAAACUGAGAUUGCUUUGUGAUAUUUUUAGAAUUCCUCUAGAAAUUUUCAUAAGAAUAUUUUUAUAUAGAAGAAUUUUACUUAUUUAAAGAGGUAUUUAUGUUAUGUUUGAAUUGGACUUGAUACAAAUUAAAAGAUAUAAAAAGGUAUUGUAUAUGGAUAAACAUUUUUGGAUGAAUAAUAUCAAUAGUCGAUAAAUCUUUAUCACGACACAGAGAGAAGUAAUUUGGAUGUAAUCGAGAGAAAUACACGGGAGAGAAGAAAAAAAAAAGAAGAGAAAAAUUUAUCGAACCACUGAAAAGGCACCACCAUUGGUACCCCGCCAUUUGUAACCAGGCGAUCUCGUUAUUGUUUUCAACGCGAGCCUGCAUAAUCGUGUCGCGAGGAAAAGGAUAAAUCGUCCUCUCCUAUUGCACCACUUUUACUUUAACUAUGAUUAAUGAUCGUGAAAUUAUUAAAGAUAAACUUUUGUAAGUCUUAAACGAUUGAAUAUAUGGAAUAUUCAAUAGCAGGAAGAAUUUUUAUCAAUAAUCUUAAAUCUAUUCUUCAAUAAUUCAUUUACAAGUUUACAAACACUUUUUUUGGUAUGAAAAAAUAUCUAAUUCUUUUAAUUAUAUCAUUUUUGAUAUAUAUAGAUACACGUAUAAUAUCGAUAUCAGCUAUAUCCAUUCUCCCCAUUUAACAUAUUCACCCUAAAUACCGAGUUUCAAUACAUUUUUUUUUUUUAGUUCGGUAUAUCAGAUACAUCCCUAUCUCCCCGCUCAAAGGGUUAACAUAUUCACCCUAAAUACCGUGAUUUUCGGUUUCUACGUGCGAUUUACAUUAAGACAACGCUCGACCGUCCCCAAAACGUAAUCCACGUGGGUUAAAAAGCAAAAAGCACAAAAAGCAAGGAGGCAUCGUAUAAUUAGAUUCUGCGAAUCCGUGGGGGAGCAUGAUCUAAAACGAGGUUGGUCCCAGUUACGGAAGUAAAAAUUCCCUGUCGAAGGACUCCUAUAGGGAGAGCGCACCCGCACAAACAGAAAUAUAAUUAAAAAGUGGUAGUUCGAUAUCGUGACGCGGGCUGAAUAAAACCGCGUAAUGGAUUUUUUCCAUUUAUUUGGUCCCCCCUCGAACUUCCUCCGCCUAUCAUGAAUUUUCACACGCACGCCAACUACCCUAACUUACGCGUAUACAUGAAAUUCCGUUCAUCUAUGUGUAUACAUAUACGGGGUGGGACAUUUAAAACAAAUCACCCGAAUAUCUUGGCUUAUUGAUGAUGAAAAAAAAAAUAUAUAUAUCACUUGCACGGUAUUGAGUGGCGUAUAAUUUGACGUAAAUCGUAUUUCGUAUAAAGUUCAGCUUCUUUUAUCCUCAAGCCAUGUUUUUGACGUAAAUAAAAUUUAAUUGAUCUACACUCUGACAUGGGCCAAAAGUAAUUCGAAUCAGACACAGUCGUUUCAUUUAUGUUAAGGAUAUCAUAGUAUCAUCUAAAACGCGAAAAAAAGGUAGAGAUUCAACGUGAACUGUAAGAGAAAAUAAUUUAUUUUUACGUAUGAACAUUGAUCGUCACAUUUGACGGGUUCAGCUAUCGAAAAUCUAUUUGCAUCAAAUUAUGCGCCAUAUUGGAUACCGUAUAAGUUUGGUGCGACACAUUUUUUUUUUCUCUCGCCAAUAACAACCGAGAUAUUCAAGUGGCCUGUUUUUGAUGUCUCACCCUGUAUAUACAUGGUACAACGCGUACGUGCACGUCACCAACGACACGGAGACCCAACCGAGUAAACGACUUCGGGUCGUUUUCCGCACCUCGGGAAAGAAGGGUAGGCGUGAGACGAUCCUACGUUAUAGACUAUACUCUGUCUCUUGGUUUCAAGACUUUUAUCCUCGUUUCUGCUUUACGAUUUCAUCCGAUACCCGUGCAUUCCUCCUUUAUGUAUUGUUCACCGCACACGUUUACCGAUUUUAUGUCUCCCUCCCCCCCGAAAUCUCUAUACAGGAUAGUUUACGAGGAGGGGGAUGGAUAAUUAGCCGGAUGAAUGGGGAAGUAAUCGUGAGAUCUUGUUCUCUUUUUUUUUCUAAAAUAAAACUAUUUUCUAACUUUUGGAAAGAAUUAAUUAUUUCUAUAUACGGUUUUAACCGUAAGAUUGGAGAUCAGUUGAAUUAUGCAAAAGUGUAAUUAUUAGAUGUUUAAAAUUGAGAUUGGAAACUUUUCUUUGAAAUAUAUGCAAAUAACUUUUGUUCGUCUCAAAAUUUUCUAUAAUAAUGUGUUAUAUAAUCAUAUGAAGAGAUUUGUAUUAUAUUAUUUACACAUCAUAUAAGAAGAAAAUAAAGUUAUACGAUAAUUUUAUCUACGUUAAAUUUAUAUAAUGAAACGAAUAAUGCCACAUAUUUUUCAUAUAUUAAUCUAUAAUAAUCUUGUUUUAUAAAAAUCCACGAUUUAAUUACUAAAACAUAUUAUAUAAAAAUUCCAUUUUUAUAUUAUCCUAUACCAAGAUAUGUUCGAUUUCAAAAUAUUGGUAAAUUAAAUUAGUAAUUACGGGAUGUUGUGAUACCAAUUUAAAAAUUUCGAGCAACGCGCGUUCAUGAGAAGAAUUACGAGAGCGGUGUCAAGUUUGUCCAUCUCGUUACCUCGUAUGUCCAUUGCAACGCGAUAAUGCGGCCACCAACGCAAGGAAAGAACGCAUCUUUCGCAAACAUGCUUUACACGCGUCCAACGAUACAUCCAGCUCGGCUCAGCCCAGUCAGCCGUGGAGUUAAUGGAAACGCCGGGGGCAUGGGAACGCAUACUAAGCAUCCUGACCUCUUCCUCCCUCCUAGGGUCUCACCUGAUGACUUUUCGACUUUUCCUCGCUUCCCUGGGAGACGGAGGUCACGAUGCUCCUUCUCAUAACUCCACCACGGCCGCGAACCUAUAAAUUUGCCGCGACAACGCAUAAAUCAGACGUGCGUGCCCGAACGUACACACGCGGCCAGACGACGACGACGACGACGACGACGACGAACUCCUCGAGGAGGAACGAUCAGCAUUCCGACCGCGGAGAGACCUUCGAUAUGCACACCGGCGGAGCAGAGUAAACACGAUCACCACCAUCAUGCUCUCUCUUUCUCGUCUCAAAGGGCUCGAACGAGAUAUAGCGAUGUUCGACACGGGUCCACCAUCUAUAAGGUCUAUUUAUCACGGGUCGAGGCGAAAUUACGGGCGCGUUUUCCUUACGUCGAAGACACGGGGGAAGGAUGACGUAAGGAUAUGAUUUCACACGGGAGAAUAGUUAUGACCGUUUUCGAAACGCGAAACUCGAGAUAUAAAAAAGAGUUACGAUUUUAGGAAGCGAAGAAGAAGUGUUUAGUUUUAGUUUCGAUAAUGACGAUAUUAUUUAUAUUAUAAAUAUAUAUUCUAGAGGCCGAAUCAAACAUAGAAAUUGGUAUGUAAGAGGUCGAUUCAAGAUUAUAUUUACUAGGAUAUAACAAGUAAUUUAAAUUCGCCGUGCUCGCAUCAUCCAUUCAAGGACAGCAAUCCUGUUUUCCCUUUCAAUUUUUUCCUUCCAUCUAUAUGUUUUAUACGACGCGAAAGGUACGAGAAGAGGGAAAACGUUAGCGGUGGAAUUUGCAUUACUCUUCAAAUUUCGCAACGUUUCGAUUAAUUUACGUGAAAGCAUCCUUUUUCAUUGGCAAAAAGAGCAACCGAAUUCGAAAUACCACAGCACGAUCGAACGAUCCAUUUGGAGAGAGCGUGUCGCCCGCGGAGAAACUUAUCAAAUUUUCCUUCGCUUCCCCCUCCUUUUUCUCGUCGAAACUUUUGUCGAUGAGAAGGAGACAAAAACCGGAAGAAAAAGAUGGAGGGGAAAAAAAGGGAGGGAGGAGAGGAGGGCUGGACAUGCAUCGUUGCGUCUACAGACCGUUCCAAAUCGGCCGACUCGGAUAUGGAGGUGGUACUUGGAGAAGAAGCACGAAAUGAUCGAUGACCGGCCGAUAUUGGUAGCGACAUAUGGAGUACCGUAUCCGCCAGGUUGCUCUUAUAAUGGGCAUUGCCGCAACCUUUUUCCACAAGCUGGAGAUGUCACGUCUCCGAUGUCAUUUGAGAGCAAAUUUCUACUUAACGACUCACAGGUGUAGAUAUGUGCAGGAAUUUUCGACGCAUCAUGAGAGACCGCCAAAAAAGAAAACAAAAAAGGAUAUACACUGUAUAUGCAACAGCGAAAUAAAUGAGCGAAAGGUGCCUCGAUUGGAUUUCACCGUUUCUACUUUGUUUUUCGAACUUGGUGAAAUUGUGCUACUUUUCAAUUGUGAACUUGUGAAAGAAAUAAAAUUAAUACUUUAAUCUUUUUAUAAAAAAUAAUAGCAGGAACUGAAAGGAAGCGGUAAUAUUCGAAAAAGCUUCUGGAAAAUAUCUAAUUUGAAAACUUAUCAUGUAUAAAAUAAAAAAUAAAUUUCUUGACUGAAUAAAAGAAAUUUCAUUUCAGUCA